UCGACAAGUGGGCUUACGACCUCGAUGUUGGAUCAGGGUAUCCCAGUGGUGUAGCCGCUACUAAAGGUUCGUUUGUUCAACGAUUAAAACCCUACGUGAUCUGAGUUCAGACCGGAGUAAUCCAGGUCAGUUUCUAUCUAUAAGGGAUUUUUUCUAGUACGAAAGGACCGAAAAAACAUGGCCCAUAUUGCACACAAGCCAUCACUAUUAGUUUAUGUUAAAAACUUAAUUAAUAAAUAACCCACACUCAGGCUCAAAAGCAGAGCA
rnacentral:rRNA from 1 species